rnacentral:rRNA from 1 species
GACGAACGCUGGCGGCGUGCCUAAUACAUGCAAGUAGAACGCACAGUUUAUACCGUAGCUUGCUACACCAUAGACUGUGAGUUGCGAACGGGUGAGUAACGCGUAGGUAACCUGCCUGGUAGCGGGGGAUAACUAUUGGAAACGAUAGCUAAUACCGCAUAAUAUUGAUUAUUGCAUGAUAAUUAAUUGAAAGGUGCAAUUGCACCACUACCAGAUGGACCUGCGUUGUAUUAGCUAGUAGGUGAGGUAACGGCUCACCUAGGCGACGAUACAUAGCCGACCUGGGAGGGUGGUCGGCCACACUGGGACUGAGACACGGCCCAGACUCCUACGGGAGGCAGCAGUAGGGAAUCUUCGGCAAUGGACGAAAGUCUGACCGAGCAACGCCGCGUGAGUGAAGAAGGUUUUCGGAUCGUAAAGCUCUGUUGUAAGAGAAGAACGGGUGUGAGAGUGGAAAGUUCACACUGUGACGGUAUCUUACCAGAAAGGGACGGCUAACUACGUG